UCCUGUUCAAUUGAUACCCAUGACUCCUUAUGAUCUGGGAUCUUUUGUUAAGUCUAUGGUACCCAAAUUCUGGUUAAGAACGAAGCGAAGCGCUGAAUGGCAGGGCGCGACAGAUCCAACGUACAUAGAUGCCAUUGGUGUUCCUAGAGGAGUACCGGAUGAGUAUAAGCUGGUGAAUCAGAUGGCAGCUGGUUUUGAAUCUGCCCUGUGUUGGUGGUGCACUCUUAACAAAAAUGUCGACAGGAUCAAUUACAUCCAUUACAACGUGCAGAGGCUUGGAAAUUGGACCGAGGCGGGUUUUAAGGCGGUCCACUCCCAACUGGCCGCUACUUCCCUAAUGGCUUUCCAAAACCGAAUGGCCCUUGACAUGCUACUCUCAAAAGAGGGCGGCGUCUGCGCCAUGUUUGGGGAGCAAUGCUGCACGUUUAUUCCAAAUAAUACUGCCGCUGAUGGAAGCCUGUCCCAGGCUCUUGAGGGCCUGAGGACCUUGAAUGGCAAAAUGAAGGAACACAGUGUAGUGAACACGGAGGUUUGGAACAACUGGCUAAAUGUGUUCGGAAAAUACCGUACCCUGGUUUCCUCGGUCCUAGUCUCCCUUGCCGUUUUUUCUGCUGUUUUGACCUUGUGUGGAUGUUGUUGUAUUCCGUGUCUCCGGUCUCUAAUUAACAGAUUAAUUACAACUGCUAUCUCUCCAGCAGCUGAGACUUUUCCGUUGCUCCAAGGGGACGACUUUGUGACUGACGAGGGUUCCGUCGGCGUUCUAUU